rnacentral:rRNA from 1 species
CAGCCGCCACGGUAAUACGAAGGGUGCAAGCGUUACUCGGAAUUACUGGGCGUAAAGAGCUCGUAGGCGGUUUGUCGCGUCUGCCGUGAAAGUCCGGGGCUCAACCCCGGAUCUGCGGUGGGUACGGGCAGACUAGAGUGAUGUAGGGGAGACUGGAAUUCCUGGUGUAGCGGUGAAAUGCGCAGAUAUCAGGAGGAACACCGAUGGCGAAGGCAGGUCUCUGGGCAUUAACUGACGCUGAGGAGCGAAAGCAUGGGGAGCGAACAGGAUUAGAUACCCCGGUAGUCCCUGUCUCUUAUAC